rnacentral:rRNA from 1 species
GGUAUUCAAUGCGCGCAGCUGAUGCAGCCAUGCCGCGUGUGUGAGAAGGCCUUUCGGGUUGUAAAGCACUUUCAGUCGGGAGGAAGGUGCUUGCGUUAAUAGCGUAAUUAUUUGACGUUACCUACAGAAGAAGCACCGGCUAACUCCGUGCCAGCAGCCGCGGUAAUAAA